GGUUCCAUAGAGUAGUGGUUAGCACAUCUGCUUUACACGCAGAAGGUCCUGGGUUCGAGCCCCAGAGGAGCCA
rnacentral:tRNA from 1 species